rnacentral:lncRNA from 1 species
UUCGCGUGGUUUUAUUUUUGCGCAUCAUCGCUGCAAGCAACGACAAUGAACCCUGAUCAAGAACAGGCAGUACUGCUAGGCUUGUUGGCAAGCACCUUUGUGGCGAUGCAUGACGCGCAGAAGCAUUCGCAGAAGAGACGACGCCAGCGGCGGUGGUGGAUUCGUCCUGCUUUGCAAGAGCGCGAAAAGCUUGGUCACGCCAUCAAACUACUACCCCUUCUGCGAGAUCGCGACGUGGAGUACUACAGAGAGCCUGACGUGGCCGA